rnacentral:lncRNA from 1 species
UUUUGGAAAAUGUUGUUUGUGCUGUAUUUAGACCCUUCAUCAACGAAAAUUGUUUGACAUGCUUACAUUGGUAGCAUUUUUCAAACUAGCAUAUGUCUUGUUCUAUGUUUCUAAAUAUACUUUGAUAAGUAUAUCACAGACGACAAAAAGGUGAACAACCAGAUAAAAUUUCUAAACAAUUAUAUGAUACCUAUCAGUUAAUAAUUUACAUUUCAUUAGUAACUAUCAUUUGCUUUUUUUCAUUUUCCUAUUAUAUGUACUCCUGUUAUGUGUUUUUUCCUCCAUAGAUAAACACUCUAUGGUAACAAAGUCAACCAUGUUCGUCACAUAUUCAUAUAAUUAAUCGCCAAAAUGUAAUACAUAAAAUAAAUUAAGGACUAAACAUAUAUAUACAUAAUAUUUAUGCUGUAUGAAUUUAAGAUGCAAUUACUACAUAAGUAAGCCGCCAACCAAAAGCAAUAACAACAACGUCACACAUGUACAAAUAAAAUAAUUGUUUCGUUCAAUGUAUGAUUGGAUGCAAUAGUAC